rnacentral:rRNA from 1 species
GUGAGGAAUAUUGCGCAAUGGAGGCAACUCUGACGCAGCCAUGCCGCGUGCAGGAAGAAGGCGCUACGCGUUGUAAACUGCUUUUAACCGGGAAGAAACCCCAGGACGUGUCCUGGGUUGACGGUACCGGAGGAAUAAGCACCGGCUAACUUCGUGCCAGCAGCCGCGGUAAUACGAAGGGUGCAAGCGUUAUCCGGAUUCAUUGGGUUUAAAGGGUGCGUAGGCGGAGCGUUAAGUCAGUGGUGAAAUCCUGCAGCUUAACUGUAGACUUGCCAUUGAUACUGGCGCUCUUGAGUGCGCUUGAAGUGGGCGGAAUGUGCCGUGUAGCGGUGAAAUGCUUAGAUAUGGCACAGAACACCAAUUGCGAAGGCAGCUCACUAAGGCGAUACUGACGCUGAGGCACGAAAGCGUGUGGAUCGAACAGGAUUAGAAACCCGUGUAGUCC